GUGACCCUGCCGUGAUGGGCGGGGCGGCAGGGGAGGAACCAGACUGCGAGCGGAGAAGCGGAGUUUGCAGCCUCGGAAUUGGCUAGAGCGCCAGAGCCGAGUCAGCCAUAAAGCUACGCGCUAGGCUCUUGGCCCUGACGUGAGGCGCGCAGAGAUGGCGUAACGGGAAUAGUUUUCAACGUCUAUUUCAUUCCCUGCUUCAGAGGACCUCUUUAAUCUUUGAUUUUGGUCCCUGUUUCUAAGAAAAGCAACUGAAAAGGUCGUAAUACCGCCCCUGAGAAAAAAGGAGCAGCGCUAAAUAAUCGAGAAAAUGCCUCCUCUUGAAACGGAUAUAGAGAUGGAAACAAGAUAUAAGAAGGAUUGAGAAUCAUAUAAUACAGGAGCUUAAACACCUAUGCGCGAUGAUAAAGAGGGUACUAUUAGAGCGCUUGGAAAAUACCAGGAAGUUGAGAGAGUUAACAGAAGGGCGCACGCUGGAUUGGCCACAAAAUCGAAUUACUGAAGUAAGUGCAAAACGACAAAUUGUCACAGAAUACAGAGAAAAGGGGAAAAGAAAUUAAGAGGAGAAAAAGAGAGAUCUAGAGGGCCGGUCCAGGAGAUACAAUCUAUGCAUAAUAGGAAUACCUGAAACUGAGGACAGAGCAAGUGGAGCUGAAACAAUAAAGGAUCUACUUGAAAAAAUUUUCCAGAAUUGAAGAACGAACUAGAUCUACAAAUGGAAAAGGCUCAUAGGAUACCUUUAAAGUUUAAUGAAAAGAAAGCAGCAUCUAGACAUAUCCGGGUGACGUUUUUGAAUUUCAAAGACGAAACAUUUUACAAGCAUCCAGUCAGAGAAAGCAGGUUACUUACAAAGGGGCAAAAGUCAGGCUGACCUCAGAUUUUUCUCCUGCAAUUCUAAAUGCCAGAAGACAGUGGAACAAUAUCUAGAGUGUUAAGGGAAAAUAAUUUUGAGCCAAGAAUUAUAUACUCUGCCAAGUUAUCAUUUCUUUACAAAGGAAACUGGAAGACAUUCUUAGAUAUACAGGGGUUAGGAAAGUAUAUCAACCAAGAACUUUCCCUGAAAAUUUUGCUGAAGGAUUUACUGCAGCUAACAGAGAACCUGAAUUAAAAUAAGAAUAGGGAGGCAAUUGUAUGAAAGAACUGAUGGUAUGCAUUAAAACUAGUUAAGGAGCAUUAAGUUUAAAUUGUUAUGUAUAGGGCAUUAAAACUAAAUACAAAAAUAGAAACAUAAGCUGGGUGUAAAAUUUCAGUUUACGUUUAAACUGGAAGGGCAUACCACAUGUUCAAUAUAUUGGACAAAUACUGUUUUAUUUUUAGCAUGUAGUAUUGUAGAUACAAAUACGCAUGUUCUUAAGCUAAACCUAAGUAAAAGGGCUUUGUCACUGUAGAUUUGACAAAUAACAUUCUAAAUGUCAAAUCUGACAAUUGGAAAACAGUACAGUUUUAUUUCCCUUAUUUUUAAGUAUAGCAGGAAAAAAAUAACAAGUUUGUCCAUGUUACUACUGAUACUGUAAAGAAACUUCCAAAUCACUGGUUUGGGAGGGGGUGGAUACAUCCUCAUUUUCUGUACAUGAUGCAUGGGGAAAAACAGUAGUUACUGCAUCAUAUAGUUCCAAGUAAAUCAUAUAGUUCCAAGUAAAUUUGACAUGGAAAUAAGUGUUAACUACAAAAAUAGAAUAUAUACAUUCCAAUGUUUGGAAAAGAAGUGGUAAAAAGAAAAAUAGCAAAAAGACACUAAAAUUAGCAAAAAGUAGAUUGACAGUACAGAUGACCUAUAAACUGGUUAAAUAGCCCUAUUACAAUUGAAAUUGGGUCAAAAAUCAAUCUCUAACCUGAGAUACAUUUGUAUAAAACAAAUGAUCAAAGAGUUUAAAGAUAAUGGAAACUAUAAAUCAUAGAAAUGGCAACAUUUUUCUUAAAAUCUAAACAUAAGACAUUUUAUGUAAAACAUACAAUAUAGGAUGUAACAUUUAACAAACUAUAUGGUAAAUAAUAUGACAUUAAUAUAUAAAAUAUAUGUUCCAGAUCUUGAUGUGGGUGAUAGUUUUACUUAUGUACAUCGAUAUACAUCUAUUUAAAAACAUGUACAUUUAAAUUGUUGCAUUUUAUGUAUUUAAAAUUUAUUGAGUAAUCCUUCUGUAUGUAUUAUUAAAGAGAAUAUAGCAAAAAAAAAAAAAAA
rnacentral:lncRNA from 1 species